rnacentral:misc_RNA from 1 species
AAAAGGUAUAUCGCGCAUAUCAGACAGGCAUUGCCAGUCUUCUCUCGACUGUUUUUGAGGCCUUGUGAAAAGGGUACUUGUAGGCGAAGUUUCAUUUAGAGAUAAGAAUAACAGACAAAAGAGGAAUUAAAGUAGCCAAUCAUGUUAAAGUGGUCCAUCAACAUCCAGACCAUUUUGGCGGGAAUGAGCAUUGGUCUUUUUGUGUACUACGUUAUCAAACGGAUGCGGUAUCGCCUGCCACCUGGACCAUGGUGUAUCCCACUUAUUGGGCAUUAUAAGAUUUAUUCAUCGCCUGAGUUUCACUUAAAAACCGCAGCGCUUGCAAAGGAAUACGGUCCUAUAAUCCGGCUGUCUGUUGGUCCCCAAACCUGGGUUGUUCUUAAUGACAUCAACUCUGUGCUGGAAGCAAUGGUAACGAAAAAGACCGAUUUUGCUGGAAGACCACAGAUUACAUCAGGUACGUGACAGUUGUAUCAUGAAUGAAAAAAGAAAGCCCCCCCCCUUUUUUUUAUAGAUUAUCUUUUGCUAUAUAAGUUUACGUAAAAAAUUACAUAUGGUACUUUUACGACAUACACGUACAACUAAACUUCGGGUAAAGGAUGAUAUCCCUUAACAAAUGAAAACAGCCCCUUUUAUGCAAUUAAGUAUAGGAGAUCUACCAAGCUUUCGAUUAUUUUAAAGAAAAGAGUGAAUAAAUGUGACAUAUUCUGAUUUGUGUUUGUAGCUUGGAUAGUUUUUUUAAUGUUAAGGUUGACACAUUAUCAAUGAUUUUGCACACCCUGUAACAGUGAAUUUCGUUCUGGUUUGUGAACUUGUCCUUUCAGUGAAUGAAAAUGAAUAGAAUGGUUGGAUCUUGGUGGAAUAAUCGAUAUGUAUAUGAAGGAUUUAUUAUCGUUUUACUAACAGCGUUACAGUUUGGUUUGCUUGUCGAGGCGUGCUUAAAUUUUGUAUCCAGGGCUGGUUUUUACAAAACUAUCGUGAUGUGUUUACGGAAGGAGGAAAGGAUAUAACCCUGGCUAAUUAUUCAGCUUCCUGGAAAUUACAUAGGAAAAUAGUCGGAAAGGCCCUAAGGAAUUAUCUUCAAGGGGAUUUAUUGGAAAACAUGAUUCAAGACAAUAUGAAUAAAUUUUUGGACAAGAUGGCCGAAGAGAAAGGACCGUUCGUUUUCAAAGAAUACAUGGAUCUGAUAAUUUUUCAUCAACUGUACACAAUAUGUUUUGGAGAAAAACGUCCUGUAGAUGACCCGGAGGUGAAAAGAUUUAUUAAAUUAGACAAUGAUCUGCUGGAGAAAUUUGGUUCGGGUUUCUUUGAAGACGUAUUUCCCUAUCUGAGACACAUCUUUACGACGGCUAAAUGGAAGAAAAUGCUUGUUUUGACAGAAGAAGUGCUGAACAUUCUCCGGAAGAAUUUGAAAGAACACAAAGAAACUUUCCAGCCAGGAGUCAACAGGGACUUUACAGACAGCAUGCUUAUCGCCAAACAGGAAGCGAAGGAUGAGGGCGAUGAGGCGGCCCUGGAGAUCUUGGAUGACACGCACCUGGUUCAGACAAUAUCUAAUAUCUUCAUUGCGGGGGCAGACACUACUCGUUUCCUUAUUGACUGGUUCGUUUAUUUCAUGACACGAUUUCCGGAAACCCAAGCAAAAUGUCAGGAGGAAAUUGACAGAGUUGUUGGAUCGAAGCAACUUUCAAUGAAGGACAGAGGCAAUUUAGAUUACACCGAGGCCUGUAUAUUUGAGACGAUGCGAAUUUCAAAUUCUGUUGGUUUUGGGAUUCCACACAUGACAGUCUGUGAUUCACAAGUUGGGGGAUACGAUGUUCCAAAAGGCACCACUGUACUUAUCAAUUACUGGGCGCUUCACCAUGACCCUAAACAAUGGAAGGACCCAGAACAAUUUGACCCACAUCGCUUUCUCGAUGAAAACGGCAAAAUGAAACCCACCAAACCAGACAGUUGGCUUCCCUUUUCUGUCGGACGCAGAGUUUGUUUGGGAGAAUCUUUGGCCAAAUCAGACAUCCUACUGAUAUGUGCCAAUCUUCUACAGCGAUUUGAAAUAAGUCUCCCAGAGGGCGUGAAGCCGAAUUUAGAGUGUCAUAUGAAGGGAUUUGGUAUGGAAAUGCCACCUGAUUACAACAUCGUGGUCAAAGAAAGAUCUGGAUGAUCAAACAUGGUUAUGGACUAGUUUAAUUGUACGUGUACAUUAUUUGCACGAUGUUGGAUGAUGAUGAUUAUUACAUAUGCAAUUUUUUC